rnacentral:misc_RNA from 1 species
UGUGAAAGCUGUCUUCUCCCUGGCUAGUAAAAUUGCUCCAAGUGUCGUUUUUGUCGAUGAAGUUGAUAGCAUGCUGGGACGACGGGAAAAUCCAGGAGAACAUGAGGCCAUGCGUAAAAUGAAAAAUGAAUUCAUGGUGAAUUGGGAUGGAUUGCGUACAAAAGAUACUGAACGAGUAUUGGUUCUUGCAGCGACAAACAGACCAUUUGAUCUUGAUGAGGCUGUCAUAAGGCGACUGCCGCGUAGGCUGAUGGUCAAUUUACCAGAUGCUCCAAAUAGAGCGAAAAUUCUAA